rnacentral:rRNA from 1 species
AGUGAACGCUGGCGGUAGGCCUAACACAUGCAAGUCGAACGACAGCACAGUAAGAGCUUGCUCUUACGGGUGGCGAGUGGCGGACGGGUGAGGAAUACAUAGGAAUCUACUUUUUCGUGGGGGAUAACGUAGGGAAACUUACGCUAAUACCGCAUACGACCUACGGGUGAAAGCAGUGGAUCUUCGGACCUUGCGCGAUUGAAUGAGCCGAUGUCGGAUUAGCUAGUUGGCGGGGUAAAGGCACACCAAGGCGACGAUCCGUAGCUGGUCUGAGAGGAUGAUCAGCCACACUGGAACUGAGACACGGUCCAGACUCCUACGGGAGGCAGCAGUGGGGAAUAUUGGACAAAGGGCGCAAGCCUGAUCCAGCCAUACCGCGUGGGUGAAGAAGGCCUUCGGGUUGUAAAGCCCUGUUGUUGGGAAAGAAAAGCAGCAGGUGAAUACCCCGCUGUUCUGACGGUACCCAAAGAAUAAGCACCGGCUAACUUCGUG